GUAAAGCACUUUCAGUAGGGAGGAAGGUAGUGUAGUUAACACCUGCAUUAUUUGACGUUACCUACAGAAGAAGCACCGGCUAACUCCGUGCCAGCAGCCGCGGUAAUACGGAGGGUGCGAGCGUUAAUCGGAAUUACUGGGCGUAAAGCGCAUGCAGGCGGCCUGUUAAGUCAGAUGUGAAAGACCCGGGGCGUUAACCUCGGAAUUGCAUUUGAAACUAGGCAGGCUAGAGUCUUGUAGAGGGGGGUAGGAAUUUCUAGGUGUAGCGGUGAAAUAGCGUAGAGAUCUGAAGGAAUACCAGUGGCGAAGGCGGCCCCCUCGGACAAAGACUGACGCUCAGAUGCGAAAGCGUCGGGGAGCAAACAGGAUUAGACUACCCUGGUAG
rnacentral:rRNA from 1 species